GUCUGUAUGGUGUAACUGGUAGCAUCCCUGGUUCAGUACUUUGUUGUUAUCCAGGCGACGUGAGUUCGAAUCUCACUAUGGACG